rnacentral:rRNA from 1 species
UACGUAGGGUCCGAGCGUUGUCCGGAAUUAUUGGGCGUAAAGGGCUCGUAGGCGGUUUGUCGCGUCGGGAGUGAAAACUCAGGGCUCAACCCUGAGCGUGCUUCCGAUACGGGCAGACUAGAGGUAUGCAGGGGGAGAACGGAAUUCCUGGUGUAGCGGUGGAAUGCGCAGAUAUCAGGAGGAACACCGGUGGCGAAGGCGGUUCUCUGGGCAUUACCUGACGCUGAGGAGCGAAAGCAUGGGGAGCGAACAGG